GCUGGUUGUGGAGAGGCUGGUUGUGGAGAGGCUGGCUGUGGAGAGGCUGGCUUUGGAGAGGCUGGCUGUGCUGGCUGUUGAUGAAGAGAGGCUGGUUGUGGAGAGGCUGGUUGUGAAGAGGCUGGUUGUGCUGGCUGUGGAGGCUGGUUGUGCUGGCUGUUGAUGAGGAGAGGGGAUUAGGACUUGGUUGAUCCUCAGUGAGGAAGUUGCUCUGUUACCCACUUCACCAACGGGAUGUAACUCCUGCUGUUCACCCCCCACGCUGGUCUGUCAGCUGCCCCCCCCCACCACCUCCCACGCUGGUCUGAGGUGAGGUGAGCCUGUGCUGUAACACAGCCAGCAGCAGCUGUGAGGUGAGCCUGUGCUGUAACACAGCCAGCAGCAGCUGUGAGGUGAGCCUGUGCUGUAACACAGCCAGCAGCUGUGAGGUGAGCCUGUGCUGUAACACAGCCAGCACAGGCUGUGAGGUGAUCCUGUGCUGUAACACAGCCAGCAGCAGCUGUGAGGUGAGCCUGUGCUGUAACACAGCCAGCAGCAGCUGUGAGGUGAGCCUGUGCUGUAACACAGCCAGCAGCUGUGAGGUGAGCCUGUGCUGUAACACAGCCAGCACAGGCUGUGAGGUGAGCCUGUGCUGUAACACAGCCAGCAGCUGUGAGGUGAGCCUGUGCUGUAACACAGCCAGCAGCAGCUGUGAGGUGAGCCUGUGCUAUAACACAGCCAGCAGCAGCUGUGAGGUGUGCAGCAUGAGAAACACUGAGGGGACAGGAGAACACAGUGUGUAUCACUGUUUAGUAGUUUGACUUCAAGGUUCCAUAAAAGGCCUGGACUAGGCUACAUGUAUCGUGGUCUUGGUCAGGCUAGACGACCUUGUCGUACUGCAGGCCGCACAGCCACAUCAGUGUUGAAACCAUGCUGACAUAAUAAUGUAUGACAUAAUGGUGACUGGGCUGAAUUUCCCUCUCGUCACGCCCAGCAGCUAGCUCAGCUAGCUCAGAUUCACCUGGCUCCCGUCUGAGAGAAGCCUGGUAGGAACACCAGAGAGAGUGGUUAUGGUUCCCUGACUGCAGCCUUGUCUAGAAGAUGUGUGUGUGUGUGUGUCUCCUGGCUGUUUCCUGGUGUGGGGGAGGGGGUGCGGCUUCCUAGAGUUCUGGCUGGGGCUAAACACUCAUGUUAUGGAAAUCUCUCUCCGUGUGUGUGUGUGUGUGUGACAGACAAGCCAAGGUGUGUGUUGUGAGACGGGUGGGAGGGGCUGGUAUGUAGGUUAAAGGUAAAGAUGUCACAGAGGACGUCUUCACACACACUCCAGUCUCAGCUGGGAUAGAGCUAGUUCACAUCUCAUAUUCAUGAAGUCCUUCAGGCUCUUAAAGAGACACAUACAGCAGUGUGAAGUCCUUCAGGCUCUUAAAGAGCCACAUACACAUACAGCAGUGUGAAGUCCUUCAGGCUCUUAAAGAGCCACAUACACAUACAGCAGUGUGAAGUCCUUCAGGCUCUUAAAGAGACACAUACACAUACAGCAGUGUGUGU